UAUAUCAAAAUCCCCUUGAUCAUAAUCCCCUUGGUUGAAAAAUGACAUAGUGAUCGAAAUCCCCUCAACAGAAAUGACCGGGUGUUCAUAAUCCCCUUGAUGGAUAGUCAAAAUCCCCUUGGCAAAAAUGAUGGGGUGGUCAAAAUCCCCUCAACUUAUGAAGUAAUUUUAGAUAGCAAACUGCAAUUAAUAGCCUCAUUUUAAGUUAUUAUCUGGAAAGAUCUAAAGCUAGUGUGCAACAAAUUUGCCUUUAAAGGUGUUUAUCAUUGCAAAGAUUAAUUGAUUGUUUGUUACAUAUAACUAUAAUUGCAAUGAUUAAUUAUAAUCAACUAUCAUUUAUUUGUUUGUAUUUUACAAUUUUCUCAGCAAUAAUAACAUCAAUAAAGGGUGUCAUUAUUAACUGGCUGUGACAAACAUACACCUUUUAAUUGUUUGUAUGCUUUUCUCUUUUUUUUCAGCAAUUCUUGAAGCAGUUGGUUCUUAAAUUCAUUGAACUAAAAAGAAAAA